rnacentral:piRNA from 1 species
UCCCGCAAAUCAGGCUCUUCCUGUGCAUG